rnacentral:misc_RNA from 1 species
GUAUUGUGUGAUGGAUCCCUGCUCGGGCAGCGACAUCAUGUCAUCCACGUCUCUUCAGUUUCUUGGCGCGAGCAUUUGCUUGCCCGAUGUUGGUCUUUUCCUGUGUUGAAUACCCGUAUUCAUGGCACGAAUUUGGUUAAAUUGUCCUUUUCCCGCCUUGUGCCGCUGCCCCUUGCGGGCGGGCGGUUCGGGGUGGGCCAAACAGUGCAUGCCGUGUGUCCCAUCCCAAUCUCCCCCAAAACGGGCGUUUGGGCUGACGAUCCGCGACAUGAGCUCGUUCUCUUGGGUCCGGAACAUUGCGUGGGUACGGGGCCAUCGGCCUCGGAGCACCACAACAAAGCGUUCUACGCUUCGUGCGAACGACUGUUGGUUCGGCCUCUGGCUGGGCACUCGUGGCCUGGUUCAGAGUCGUGCCGACGUCGAUGAGGAAUGCUACCU